rnacentral:rRNA from 1 species
GCAUAUCAAUAAGCGGAGGAAAAGAAACUAACAAGGAUUCCCUUAGUAACGGCGAGUGAAGCGGGAACAGCUCAAGCUUGAAAUCGGCAGUUGGUAAACAUAUGCCGAGUUGUAGCUUUUGGAAGCAGUUUCAAGCAACUGGUUGCGGUAAAAGUUCUUUUGAAUAAGACAUCAAAAGAGGGUGAGAAUCCCGUCCUUGACCGUGAUUUAAGUGGCGAUGCGAACUGUUUUCUGCGAGUCGGGUUGUUUGGGAAUGCAGCCCUAAUUGGGAGGUAAAUUUCUUCCAAAGCUAAAUAUCAGUAAGAGACCGAUAGCAAACAAGUACCGUGAGGGAAAGAUGAAAAGCACUUUGAAAAGAGAGUGAAAAGGUACGUGAAAUUGUUGAAAGGGAACCGGUUGGUAGCCAAGCAUUUCUUGGCGUUAGGGCAUUUAUGUCAGAGCGUCGGGAGGGUCAACAUCGAUUGCUGUUAAUCUGCCAGAAAGGAAAUUAUGCAGGCUAGCGGAGGAAGGUAGGGAGGUGGGUUUCCGGUUCAAUUUAUUGGGACGGUAUUAUGGCCUGCCUUCUGUUAUAGCCUCCAUGGGUUUGCUUUUUACGCCUAGUGGUGGUGGCGAUCGAGGACUGCAGCGCGUUUUGGAGGGAGACCUCUGAUGGCCUGAUUGUCUGGGAUCAUUGUAGUUGCGUUGCGGCAGACAGCAUGCUGACUGUUGCGGGUAGGCUAUAUGUUUCUGGGGAAUUCGGGACUAAGAAGCGCUUUGGAUGUUGGCGAAAAGGCACUAAUCGACCCGUCUUGAAACACGGACC